GGCCGUGUGGCGCAGUGGAUAACGUGUCUACCUACGGAGUAGAAGAUUGCAGGUUCGAAUCCUGCCGUAGCCG
rnacentral:tRNA from 1 species